UUUAAUAUUCUCAUUGAUCGAAAAAUAAAUAAUGUUCUAAUCUAAAAAAUCGUGAUUCUUCUUUAAUUUGAGUGAAUUAAAGAAGAUGUGCGGGGGUUUUACUUGCUCGAAGAACGCUUUGAUAGCGUUAAACGCUUUGUAUUUGGUUGUAGCUUCAGUUUUGAUUAGCGUAGCUGUUUAUGGUCGGGCGGCUUCAAUCGUAACUAAUCUACCCAUAAUCGGUGGAAUAUUGGCAUGUGGAAUCAUACUGAUCAUAAUUUCGUUAUUGGGGCUGGUCGGGGCUGUAAAACAUCAUCAAGUUAUGCUGUUCUUUUACAUGUUAAUUUUAUUCAUGUUAUUUUUGAUCCAAUUCUCUGUGGCUUGUGCUUGUCUUGGGGUAAACAUGCAGCAACAAGAACAACUUGCUGAACAAGGUUGGGGGAGGGUUAAUAACGAAACGAAAGCUGAAGUUCAAAGGGUUUUUACAUGUUGUGGGUUUAGCGAUCGAUUUUCACAGGCUGAUAAAAAGAUGGGGUAUCCAGAUUGCGAUAAAAUAAAAGAAAAAUGUUGUGGAAAGCUUCAAGUUGAUCCGAAUUGUACAUGUUAUUGUAUUGAUAAAUUACAAAAUACCAUUGAUUAUGCUUUUAAAUUAUGUGGAUGGGUUGGACUUUUCUUUAGUUUCACUGAGUUUUUGGGUGUAUGGUUGACGAUAAGGUAUCGCAAUCAAAAAGACCCUCGUGGAAAUCCUAGCGCUUUCCUCUAGUCACAUGAACGCUUUGUGUUAACAUAAAAAGAAAAAAAAGAUAUAAGAAACCUCUUUUGGAUUGUCGGUGUGGUUUUAACGAAAAGAUAUCGGAAUCAAUACGAUCCUGAAGAAAAAUUAGCAACGGCCGUUUUUC
rnacentral:misc_RNA from 1 species